CCAAGGAGUCUAACAUGUGCGCGAGUCGGUGGGAUGCAGUAGUAGCGAGACUCACAGGCGCAAUGAAAGUGAAGGUCAGGAACCGUCUACGUGCGGUUUCUGUCCGAGGCAAGAUCCGCCCGGUUUUAUCUUGGUGGCCGGGCGGCGCACUGCCAGCCCGUCGCGAUCGCAACGUCGAUGCGGCGGAGCAUGAGCACACACGUUGGGACCCGAAAGAUGGUGAUCUAUGCUUGAGCAGGACGAAGCCAGAGGAAACUCUGGUGGAGGUCCGUAGCGAUUCUGACGUGCAAAUCGAUCGUCGGACUUGAGUAUAGGGGCGAAAGACUAAUCGAACCGUCUA
rnacentral:rRNA from 1 species